rnacentral:rRNA from 1 species
UCUGCCUUUAAGCGGGGAAUAGCCCAUGGAAACGUGGAUUAAUACCCCAUAGUAUGUAGACUUCACCUGGAGACUACAUUAAACAUUUAUGGCUUAAAGAUGAGUAUGCGUCCUAUUAGUUAGUUGGUAAGGUAACGGCUUACCAAGACCGCGAUAGGUAGGGGUCCUGAGAGGGAGAUCCCCCACACUGGUACUGAGACACGGACCAGACUCCUACGGGAGGCAGCAGUGAGGAAUAUUGGACAAUGGAGGCAACUCUGAUCCAGCCAUGCCGCGUGCAGGAAGACGGCCCUAUGGGUUGUAAACUGCUUUUAUACGGGAAGAACCACAUCUACGUGUAGAUGCUUGACGGUACCGUAUGAAUAAGGACCGGCUAACUCCGUGCCAGCAGCCGCGGUAAUACGGAGGGUCCAAGCGUUAUCCGGAAUCAUUGGGUUUAAAGGGUCCGUAGGCGGAAUAAUAAGUCAGUGGUGAAAGUCUGCAGCUCAACUGUAGAAUUGCCAUUGAUACUGUUAUUCUUGAAUUAUUAUGAAGUGGUUGGAAUGAGUAGUGUAGCGGUGAAAUGCAUAGAUAUUACUCAGAACACCUAUUGCGAAGGCAGAUCACUAAUAAUAUAUUGACGCUGAGGGACGAAAGCGUAGGUAGCGAACAGGAUUAGAUACCCUGGUAGUCUACGCCGUAAACGAUGGUUACUAGCUGUCCGGCCUAAUUGAGGGCUGGGUGGUUAAGCGAAAGUGAUAAGUAACCCACCUGGGGAGUACGUUCGCAAGAAUGAAACUCAAAGGAAUUGACGGGGGCCCGCACAAGCGGUGGAGCAUGUGGUUUAAUUCGAUGAUACGCGAGGAACCUUACCAGGGCUUAAAUGCAGUCUGACAGGCGUGGAAACAUGCCCUUCUUCGGACAGAUUGCAAGGUGCUGCAUGGUUGUCGUCAGCUCGUGCCGUGAGGUGUCAGGUUAAGUCCUAUAACGAGCGCAACCCCUGUUGUUAGUUGCCAGCGAGUCAUGUCGGGAACUCUAACGAGACUGCCGGUGCAAACCGCGAGGAAGGUGGGGAUGACGUCAAAUCAUCACGGCCCUUACGUCCUGGGCCACACACGUGCUACAAUGGUAGGGACAGAGGGCAGCUACCCCGCGAGGGGAUGCGAAUCUUCAAACCCUAU